rnacentral:misc_RNA from 1 species
GAUGAAGAACGUAGCGAAAUGCGAUAAGUAGUGUGAAUUGCAGAAUUCAGUGAAUCAUCGAAUCUUUGAACGCACAUUGCGCCCCUUGGUAUUCCAUGGGGCAUGCCUGUUCGAGCGUCAUUUGUACCUUCAAGCUCUGCUUGGUGUUGGGUGUUUGUCCUUGCUCUAGUGGCGGGACUCGCCUUAAAGUAAUUGGCAGCCAGUGUUUUGGUUUUGAAGCGCAGCACAAGUCGCGAUUCAAGUCUAUACGCUAGUUUCCACAAGUCUUUUAUCACUUUUGACCUCGGAUCAGGUAGGGAUACCCGCUGAACUUAAGCAUAUCAAUAAGCGGAGGAA